GUCUGCGGGGUUUUUUUUUUAGAAAGAUGCCCACAAGGUCAGUAAGUCAGAGAUUCUUAUAAGAGCUGAGACAAGCAGCUUCAGUCAACACGCAGAUCAAAAGAAUGAUUCAGUUUUGAUCUAAAAAUGACAUAAACCAGGUCCUUCCAGGCAAAGCUCGGCUGGAUUCAGCGUGGAUGAAGUAAAAUAGUGUGAUGUUGUGAGAAAUGUUUGGAAACUCUGGCUGAUGGAUCUCAACUCGCUCACCUCCAACGCUGUCUGAUUGAAGAGAGUGAUGAACUGAGCCGUGAGGAGAACGACCACCUCUUCUCUCAGGAACUCUGCAAGAAGAGAAAAAGACGAUGAGAUACGUAUACUGCCAAAUAGAAGAAAACCCAACGAGAGAAUCGUGAAACAAGUUCAACUGGUACCAUUAAAUUGAAAGUUUCAAUUGGCAAGUGAGGUCAAGAUAAAGAAGUUUAAAGAGAAAAGAAAACUUGGACUAUCUGAAAGCGAUCUUCAGAUUGAAGAAGGCAGGCGUGACGAAUCCUGGCGGCUUGGACAUGCUGAUCCUCCAGUCCAAUAAGCAGCCUAUUUCUUUUGCAAGAGAUAACUGUGCAUUCUGCUUUUUUUUUUCUUUUGCUUGUGUCCAAAACAUGAUAAAACGAGAAAAAAACUAUAUUUUUAUAAAUUCCAAAUUUUGAUACCAGCUUUUCCUGGAACAAGAACUCCCUUAUGGACUUGGAGAGGAGGAAAAGAGCUGGGCUCGCUGCUAAAUUUGGACGUAGAUGCCAGAUGGCUGGAGGAACGGCUUGAUAUUGCGUGUGAUCUUCUAUGGUUCAGCUCUCUCUAGUCAGCAUUUGCACGAUUCUUUAUUUACAUGAUUUCAUUUUUAUAUACUACUAGUUGUGCCUGUUUGGAUACACGCAGCAUGAAAAGGCUGUUCUAGGGUACUUAUAGGUUGAUGUGGGUUUAAAAAGGCCCUGGAGUGAUUAGGUAUUGCACUGCAUAAAGUUGGGAGACCGAUUUUUUAAAAAUCAAUGCAGCAGAGGCUGAGAUAUCCUGACCUUUAGUCCCUGGUGUGAGUCUACAUUAUGGCUAUAUUAGAAGAGCUCGAUCCCAGACUUAAAGAUGGUGUUCAAUCACAUCAAUGAAAGAAGCUCGCCUGGUGCAGAGGCCAGAAAAAAGUUGAGUAGUCUUUUUCCUGCAGGCCCUGCACACACUCACUUGCUCGGCUCAUAUGCUAUACAUGGGAAUAAACACUUUCCUGGACUCUGGUAAAGUUUUAUGGAUAUAAAACUAUAGAUUAAAAAACCUAAAAGCAACACAUUUACGUGUUUUGUCUACAGUUUCAUUGAUUUGAAGAAUGGUGGUGCUUUAAGGCCAACUCAUGUUUUCCAUUUCCAUAUUUCAUGGAGGCAAAGUGUAAUAUAGAAUUUCAGCCCAAAAUUUGUGACCACAUAGAUGUCCGCACUUGCAAGUGACCCGACUGCCAGGAAAACAAAUGCUUCUUAUGGGAAGCAACAGUACAAGGAGACUCUCCAUCAUCCACCAAUUUAUAAUUCAUCAUUAAAGAGUUUUAAUUGAAGUA